AUUGAACGCUGGCGGCAGGCCUAACACAUGCAAGUCGAGCGAGCGGCGGAUGGGUGAGUAAUGUCUGGGAAACUGCCUGAUGGAGGGGGAUAACCACUGGAAACGGUAGCUAAUACCGCAUACAUUCUGAUGUGCCCAGAUGGGAUUAGCUAGUGGGUGGGGUAACGGCUCACCUAGGGGACGAUCCCUAGCUGGUCUGAGAGGACGACCAGCCACACUGGAACUGAGACACGGUCCAGACUCCUACGGGAGGCAGCAGUGGGGAAUGUUGCACAAUGGGCGCAAGCCUGAUGCAGCCAUGCCGCGUGUGUGAAGAAGGCCUUCGGGUUGUAAAGCACUUUCAGCAGGGAGGCGUUACCCGCAGAAGAAGCACCGGCUAACUACGUGCCAGCAGCCGCGGUAAUUC
rnacentral:rRNA from 1 species